AACGCACAUUGCGCCCCUCGGUACUCCGGGGGGCAUGCCUGUCCGAGCGUCAUUGAAAACCAUCAAGCCUGGCUUGGUCUUGGGCGCGGUCUCGGGACCCGCCCGCAACCCGUCGGCGGUGCCGGCUCGGCCCUGAGCGUAGCAAGACUCUCGCUCGGGGGCCGCGGCGGCGCCCGCCCGGAGAAUAUACCUCAAAGUUUGACCUCGGAUCAGGUAGGACUACCCGCUGAACUUAA
rnacentral:misc_RNA from 1 species